rnacentral:misc_RNA from 1 species
UUUCCGUAGGUGAACCUGCGGAAGGAUCAUUAAAAAAUUGGACUCCAUUGGUGAGUUCAUUAAUAAUCCCUACCCUUUGUGAAUUUGUUUGUUUGAAUAAUUUUUUUUCCAAAAAAAAAAUUACUGAAUGUCUUUCCCUGUUUUGGUGGAGCUUGUAAAGUGAAACCAGGCAGGGGAAUGGCAAACAAUAAUUACUUUUUGAAAAAAGACCUUUUUUAAAAUUAAACUUUUUGUAUUCAUUUGUCUAAAAUUAUUUUUAUAAUAUAAAAACAACUUUUGACAAUGGAUCUCUUGGUUCUCGCAACGAUGAAGAACGCAGCAAAAUGCGAUAAGUAGUGUGAAUUGCAGAAUACGUGAAUCAUCGAAUCUUCGAACGCAUAUUGCACUUUUUUAGUUUACUAAAAAAGUAUGUCUGUUUGAGUAUCAGUAAAAUAUUCUCAUAAAAAACAUUGUUUUUUUAUGGUUAUGAGUGUUUUACAACGAUAACAAGUUGUUUCACUUUAAAUUCUUUGUUAUCAAAAAAAUCAUUAAAAGCUAAUUUUAAAGAUUUUUUAAAAUUGGAUAAAAUUUUCCCGUAAAAAGGAAUAACCUAAACAAUUUUAAAAAAUUAAAAUUGGUUUGAUUUUUUUUGAAACCCAAAGGAAAAAAAAACGAAAUUAACUUGAUCUCAAAUCAGAUAAGAGUACCCGCUGAACUUAAGCAUAUCAAUAAGCGGAGGAAAAGAAACUAACUAGGAUUCCCUCAGUAACGGCGAGUGAAGCGGGAAGAGCUCAAAUUUGAAAUCUUCAAGGUUUUACCUUGACGAAUUGUAGUUUAAAGAAGUGUUUUCUGUUGGAGUUUUGGUAAAAGUUCUUUGGAAAGGACAUCAUAGAGGGUGAGAAUCCCGUAUUUGACCAUUAUCUCCAGCUUUGUGAUACACUUUCAAAGAGUCGGAUUGUUUGGGAAUGCAGUCCAAAAUGGGUGGUAAAUUUCAUCUAAAGCUAAAUACUGGCGAGAGACCGAUAGCGAACAAGUACCGUGAGGGAAAGAUGAAAAGAACUUUGAAAAGAGAGCUAAACAGUACGUGAAAUUGUCAAAAGGGAAGCGUUUGACACCAGUGUUGUUUUCUCGAAAAUCAAUUAAAAAAGGCCGGAUUUUGUGUUGUAUUGACUUUAUCAGCUUUCUGCACUUUUUUCUUGUCUUUUUUAAUGCACUUUUCGUUUAACAAGUCAACAUCAAUUUCUUUUGUUGUAAAAGGGUCAUUGGAAGGUGGCUUUCUUUUCGGAGAAAGUGUUUAUAGCCUUUGGCCUCUGCAACCGGAGAGAUUGAGGUCUGCAGCGUAGAUCCUUCGGGUUAGAUACAUUUGUGCUAAGUUAUAGCCUUUCAUAGACAACUUGUUGACUAUGAUCAGUCAUGUAGCUUACUCGCUUAUGCUAUUUUACCUACGCUUAGGAUGUUG